UAACCUGCCCAAGAGAUCGGGAUAACACCUGGAAACAGAUGCUAAUACCGGAUAANAACAGAUGAUGCCUAUCAACUGUUUAAAAGAUGGUUCUGCUAUCACUCUUGGAUGGACCUGCGGUGCAUUAGCUAGUUGGUAGGGUAACGGCCUACCAAGGCGAUGAUGCAUAGCCGAGUUGAGAGACUGAUCGGCCACAUUUGGGACUGAGACACGGCCCAAACUCCUACGGGAGGCAGCAGCC
rnacentral:rRNA from 1 species